rnacentral:rRNA from 1 species
CCUACGGGUGGCAGCAGUGGGGAAUAUUGCACAAUGGGGGAAACCCUGAUGCAGCGACGCCGCGUGAGUGAAGAAGUAUUUCGGUAUGUAAAGCUCUAUCAGCCGGGAAGAAAAUGACGGUACCUGAUUAAGAAGCCCCGGCUAACUACGUGCCAGCAGCCGCGGUAAUACGUAGGGGGCAGGCGUUAUCCGGAUUUACUGGGGGUAAAGGGAGCGUAGACGGCAGCACAAGUCUGGAGUGAAAUGCCGGGGCUUAACCCCGGAAGUGCUUUGGAAACUGUGCAGCUAGAGUGAAGGAGAGGUAAGUGGAAUGCGUGGUGUAGCGGUGAAAUGCGUAGAUAUUAGGAGGAACACCAGUGGCGAAGGCGGCUUACUGGACUGUAACUGACGUUGAGGCUCGAAAGCGUGGGGAGCGAACAGGAUUAGAUACCCCAGUAGUC